rnacentral:rRNA from 1 species
CCCUUAGAUGUUCUGGGCUGCACGCGCGCUACACUGAUGCGAUCAACAAGCUUUUCCUAUGUCGAUAGACACGGGUAAUCUUUUGAACUCGCAUCGUGAUGGGGAUAGAUUAUUGUAAUUAUUAAUCUUCAACGAGGAAUUCCUAGUAGGUGCAAAUCAUCAGUUUGCAUCGAUUACGUCCCUGCCCUUUGUACACACCGCCCGUCGCUGCUACCGAUUGGUUGAUCUGGUGAAUUAUUCGGACUGCCGGCUGAAGGGGUUUCCUCAUCUGCCAGCGGAAAGUCUUGUUAACCCUAUCAACUAGAGGAAGCAGAAGUCGUAACA